UACGUAGGGUGCGAGCGUUGUUCGGAAUUACUGGGCGUAAAGGGCGCGUAGGCGGCCCGCUAAGUCGAACGUGAAAUCCCCGGGCUCAACCCGGGAACUGCGUCCGAUACUGGUGGGCUUGAAUCCGGGAGAGGGAUGCGGAAUUCCAGGUGUAGCGGUGAAAUGCGUAGAUAUCUGGAGGAACACCGGUGGCGAAGGCGGCAUCCUGGACCGGUAUUGACGCUGAGGCGCGAAAGCCAGGGGAGCAAACGGG
rnacentral:rRNA from 1 species